rnacentral:tRNA from 1 species
CAGUUUGGUCUAGUGGUAUGAUUCUCGCUUUGGGUGCGAGAGGUCACGGGUUCGAUUCCCGUAACU